rnacentral:tRNA from 1 species
GUCCCCUUCGUCUAGAGGCCUAGGACACCGCCCUUUCACGGCGCUAACAGGGGUUCGAAUCCCCUAGGGGACGCCA